rnacentral:rRNA from 1 species
GUGGGGAAUAUUGCACAAUGGGGGAAACCCUGAUGCAGCAACGCCGCGUGAGUGAUGACGGUCUUCGGAUUGUAAAGCUCUGUCUUCAGGGACGAUAAUGACGGUACCUGAGGAGGAAGCCACGGCUAACUCCGUGCCAGCAGCCGCGGUAAUACGUAGGUGGCAAGCGUUGUCCGGAGUUACUGGGCGUAAAGGGAGCGUAGGUGGAUAGUUAAGUGGGAUGUGAAAUACUCGGGCUUAACCUGGGUGCUGCAUUCCAAACUGGAUAUCUAGAGUGCAGGAGAGGAAAGUAGAAUUCCUAGUGUAGCAGUGAAAUGCGUAGAGAUUAGGAAGAAUACCAGUGGCGAAGGCGACUUUCUGGACUGUAACUGACACUGAGGCUCGAAAGCGUGGGGAGCAAACAGGAUUAGAUACCCGUGUAGUCC